rnacentral:tRNA from 1 species
GGGGAUGUAGCUCAGUUGGGAGAGCGCCGGCCUCGCAUGCCGGAGGUCGAGGGUUCGAGUCCCUUCAUCUCCACCA